CCCAGGGUGUCCCAGGCUUCAUGAUAGUAGGGCCUGCUUGUGCCAUGGCGGCCUCAGGAUGGUGGCACUGCCCCAGGGUGUCCCAGGCUCCAAGGCCAGUGUUCCGUCCAGCGAAGGGAAGUUGUACUGUAAGGUCUAGUCUCGGAAGGUGCCUGGGGUCCUAUCCUUCAGAGCGGUCCUGCACUCACCACAAAUCAAGCCAGGGGAGGCCCUGCCAGAAUUUGCAGCUGUGUUUCAGGUCAUUCCACAAGGCCUCUUUUAUUUUGGGCUAGUCAGGUAUAUAAUUCUUAUUCUCUGGUUUUUUUGAGACAGGCAAAAAAAAAAAAAAAAAACCUUCUUGUUGCCCAGGCAGUGGUGUGAGCACAGCUUACUACAGCCUCAACCUCCCAGGCUCAAGUGAUCUUCCUGCUCAGUCUCCUGAGUAGCCAGGACCCACAGGCACAUGUUCCAUGUGUCCCCAUGCCUGACUUAGUUUUGUAUUUUUUGUAGAGAUGGAGUUUUGCAAUGUUGCCCAGGCUGGACUUGAACUCCUGGACUUAAGCAGUCCAGCUGUCUCAGCCACCCAAAGUACUGAGAUCACAGGCAUGAGCCACCGUGCCUGGCCAAGUGUGUUUCUAAUUUCAAAAUUAAGAGGACCCAGAGUCAGUUAAUGACGUCUCUACUGGAACAUGCUGCUUAUAGUACAUUAGGAAAAAUCAUCCAGAACUUGGAAAAGGGCCUGGACAGACACAGCCCUUCGAGGUUGUCCGAUGAACCCCUGGGGUCUUUAACCAUCUGGAGGGAUGUACCAUGUCAGACUCACUGUUGUCGACCGGCUGAAGCCCAGGUUUCAUGAGGUUAUGUGUCAGCUUGUAGUACUUUCUCUGGCAGAGAUGCGAGUGACUUCGCUCAGUGAGAGGCUCAUCUCAGGGACUUCAUGGCCUGAGGGACGGCAGCCUGUUUGAGCUGAUCGAGCAAUCUCGCGCUACCCUUAUUUUCUGAAACGCCUAUGAGUGACUUCUCACACGGUCUUUGAAGCGGCUUCAUGCCCGCGCUCCUUGGUAAUGAUCGAAUGCUUUUUUUGACCCCUCAUCCCUUUCUUUGGGGUGUUCCAGUCUCAGUUCUCAUGAUGUGUUCUGCUUCUGCAGGAAUUUCUGAAGCUGCUGAGUGUAGAAAGCACUGAGGAGGCUGUGCUCCCACCCCUGUGAGUCUUCCAGGCAUCAUCCUCUCCCCUUGGCGAGGCGGCGUCCAUGGCACACCGAGGAGGCUGUGCUCCUGUCCCCCAUUUCUUUGCAUCGUCUCCCUUAUCCAGAAGUGAGGGUGAACGCUGAGUUAUUCACGGGAGUCAAGAAACCACACGCAGCCCAAAGUGACGUUUGUUUCCCUGAAAUGAUUUGUGUGUGUUCACCUUAAAAUGCAACUCAGUAAAACAGGUGUCUUUUGAGGAAUGACUUUAAAUUACUCAGGUAAAAAUGUGACAGUUAAAUUUCAUCAUCUGUGCGGGUGUCCACAACCCCCUUCUGUGAUUGCGUGUGAGUUUGUGACUUGUGGUUAUUUUUGAAGAAAGAAAAUCUGUUGUUGAGGACUUCAGAUGGUGUGCUGGGAUUGUGUAGGGUGGACAUCGGGGGCUUCAGUGUGUGGCUUCCUUGAAGAGGUUCAAAUUAAGGCUGAGAGUCCCUACUCCAAAAUGCUCCGAAACCUGAAACAUUCCGAGCUUCCUCAUGACACUCGAAGGAAAUGCUCUUCGGAGCACUUUGGAUUUCAGGCUGGGGAUGCUCAACUGGAAAGUGAAAUAUUGCAAGACCCUUCUGGCCCCAGGAGCUUGGAUAAGGUCAUGGAGGGGGCCUGUGCCGGGUGUCCCUGGAGUGUGAGGCAGCCUGGGCUCUCUGAACUGGUUUUUGUAGGAGCCACAGAAGGGAAAGAGGCUCAAAGUGGCCACGCCUGGCUCCUGAGAAGGCUGGACCAGAAGGAGGUGGGCGCAGAGGGCAGCAGUAGAGUCCCCAGCGUCCGGGGCUCCUGUCCCUGGUGGAGUUGAGAGCCUCCUCUAGUUGUGGCCUCUCCCCUGUCAGCAGCCACUGAGGCCUGAAGGGAGAGGGGGCUGAGGAGAGGAGGAAGGAUAGGCCUACUUCUGGAGAGGGCCAGCAUCUGCCUGUGCUAGCCUCGUGUGUUACUCCUGCAUCCAGGGUGCACGGCCAUGCCUCGUGGUGUAGCGGUUCCCGGGAUGCACAGCGCUCUUGUCUGCAGUAACAGCUUUGUCUCCGACCCUUGGAGGCAAGUUACCUUUUUCCCCAGUGAAAAGAGGUAGAAAAUCUUACAGAAAUGCAUUUGCUCUAAUGUCUAUUUUCCGAUAAGACAUGGUCGCUUAGGCUAAAUCUUUGGGAGGUCAAGGCAGGAGGAUCACUUGAGGCCAAGGGGUUCAAGACCAGCCUGGACAACAUAGCAAGACCCCCAUCUGUAUAACAGAAAAGUUAGCUGAGUGUGGUGGUGCGUGCCUGUGGUGCCUGCUACUCUGGAGGCUGAGGUGGGAAGAUCACUUAAGGCUACAGUGAGCUGCUAUUGCUCCACUCUACUCCAAUCUUGGCAACAGAGCCGAGACCCAGUCUCAGAAAGAAAAGUAAAAAAAAAAA